rnacentral:rRNA from 1 species
AUUAGACCUCAGAUCAGGCAGGAUUACCCGCUGAACUUAAGCAUAUCAAUAAGCGGAGGAAAAGAAACUAACAAGGAUUCCCCUAGUAACGGCGAGUGAAGCGGGAAGAGCUCAAAUUUGUAAUCUGGCCCUUUCAGGGUCCGAGUUGUAAUCUCGAGAAGUGUUUUCCGCGUCGGACUGCAUACAAGUCUAUUGGAAUAUAGCGUCAUAGUGGUGAGAGCCCCGUAACUGAUGCAGAUGCCCGAUGCUUUGUGAUACACUUUCGAAGAGUCGAGUUGUUUGGGAAUGCAGCUCAAAUUGGGUGGUAAAUUCCAUCUAAAGCUAAAUAUUGGCGAGAGACCGAUAGCGAACAAGUACCGUGAGGGAAAGAUGAAAAGCACUUUGGAAAGAGAGUUAACAGUACGUGAAAUUGUUGGAAGGGAAACGCUUGAAAUCAGACUUGCUAUUCGGAAUUCAGCCGCAAGGUGUACUUUUCGAUUUGCAGGCCAGCAUCAGUUUUUGGGGGUGGAAAAGGGUGGAGAGAAGGUAGCAACCCCGGUUGUGUUAUAGCUCUUCACUGGAUUCAUCUUUGGGGACUGAGGAUCGCAGUGCGCAUUUAUUUGCAAACCUCUCGAGGUUCGUACUAGGAUG